CAGCCGCCGCGGGAAUACCGAGGGUGCGAGCGUUAAUCGGAUUUACUGGGCGUAAAGCGUGCGUAGGCGGCUUUUUAAGUCGGAUGUGAAAUCCCUGAGCUUAACUUAGGAAUUGCAUUCGAUACUGGGAAGCUAGAGUAUGGGAGAGGAUGGUAGAAUUCCAGGUGUAGCGGUGAAAUGCGUAGAGAUCUGGAGGAAUACCGAUGGCGAAGGCAGCCAUCUGGCCUAAUACUGACGCUGAGGUACGAAAGCAUGGGGAGCAAACAGGAUUAGAGACCCGAGUAGUCCCUGUCUCUUAUAC
rnacentral:rRNA from 1 species